UUCGUUUGGGGGCUUACUUUAAUGAAUAAGAUGUGUUGAAAUUGUUGAAGAAUAUAAGUCCCACAUUGGAAACUUGAAUAAGGGCUCGUUUGAGAGUGCUUUUGAAACUGCUAAAAGCGCUUCCAAAUGGGUAAAAGCGCUUCUAUCUUUUAAAAAUGAUGUUUGGCAGAAAUUGUAAAAGAGCUUUGGGUGGGAUUCAAAAGCAUUUGAAGUUGUUUUUUAAGAAGCACUUGAGAAAUGCUUCUUCAUAGAAGUUCUGCCAAGUAAAUGCACGGGAAGCACUCGACUCCCUUUAAUGAAAAUUUCAAAACACCGAAAAUAUCCCUAUUUAAUUUUCUAAAACGCCAAAAUACCCUCAUCAGUUCUGUCGCUCCUUUCGCAUCAGACUCCAUCGUGUUAUUUCUCUCUCUCUUGGCCUCAUGAUUUCUUUCGGGGUAGAAGAUCUGACUAUCAAUUGAAGGCCAUGGCCAUCCUUGCUCCUCAAGCAGAUCGUAUUCUAUUCAUUAAUAAACAUUUGGGUAUUCUUUGUUUUUGGAUUUCCUUAUCUGAGUUCUCUAAUUAGAUAUGUUCUUCUAUGAUUUUAUUUUAUUUUAUUUGGAUGAAACUGAAUCUUCUCUUCCUUGAAGUCCUUUUCAUGGUUUUGAAUUUUUUAUUAGUGUGUAGGAAUUGAAGUCUUUUUCAUGGUUUUGAAUUUUUUUUUUCUUUUUUGAAUUUCUAUGCCUUGACUUGUCAAUUUCUUUUUGUUUUGUUUCAUGAGUAAAAUUUGCGGUGGGCUUCAUUGAAUUAAAAGUUUCAUACGUUCAUUUUGGUCAAUCUGUAUUGAUUUCUUCGUUUGCAUACUUUCUGGAAUCAAUGCAGCCAAAGGGGUGUUCAUAACAAGUUGGAAAGCCGGAAACGUAUUGUUUUU
rnacentral:lncRNA from 1 species